rnacentral:lncRNA from 1 species
GCAACUCAAACCUUCAGAAGUUGUCGAACCAGAUUGGAACGCCUUUGAGGACCACCUUCAGGCACGGACUGAGAAGGAUGUGGAGGUUUUUGACCAUGUGAAAAUAAUUGUCCACUGUUAAUUUAUAUUCUGGCCCUCCAAGAGAUAUGUAAGAAAUGUAUUUGUAAUAUAAUUGCCUUUUCGUGUUAUCAAUCAAGGUGAGACUUAACAUUAUCAAGGUGCAGGAGAAACAGAAGGAGAGCUACCGGAGCAGAAUCAAAAAGGGGACCAAGUGCUACGACCUUCCGGGCGAAUUACUUGGUUUGGAAGAAGGACGAAAGGAUGGCGAGAUCUGAGAAACCUCGCUGCUCUGGGGUCACGAUCUGUUAAGGGUUACCUCGGUGGAAACAAACAAUCUCCAGUUUUAGCAGUUGGAUGGUCGACCACUGAAGCACUGUCGCCCUACACUUCAGUGAAGCCCAAUAGACAAACCCCGCAGGAGGUAUCCCAUCCACCAUAACCGUUGAGUUCAGAUCAGUCUGAUUCUCUAUGCUCCGAGUCAGAGGGGGACCAGCUUGGGGUAGGCUAUACCUUCCAAAAGUGUUGAAAAGACCUAGGGGUUCUGCCCAACACCCAGAUGUGGAUCCACCUGAUCUCCUCCAUUACCAACCAACCUUCAACGUUUCAUUACAUCAUCUACAGCUACUGUUAUUGUCAUGAUGUCAUUAUCUGCUAAGAUAGUUUUCUUGCUCUAUUAUACUGGGCACAUAUGUGAGAUACACAGAUGAACUAAAAACACUAGUACUGCAAACACUCAGAACAAAGAAAGCAGCAGUGCCUGGACUUCGCUGUCUCCCUCUUAAGUCCCCCUUUCGAGACUGACAGGCAUAACCUCCCACCCACACAGCAAUCACCUCCUCAAUAUUCCACACACCAGAAUUCAGUAUUUUAGUCUGAUUGCCAUGUGAGUGUACACUUUUUUUAUAUAUAUAUACUGACACAACUCUACCAAAAAAUAUAAAAGUUUAUGUAUUAAAAUAAAAAAGUUGUACGGUAUCCUUUUGUCGGGGUAGGUUCCUUGUUCCUUGUCAGUCAUUGGC